UACUAUUAAAAGGCAACUCGCACUUGAAAUCACUUACAUUUCAUAAAUUUCUAAAUAAAAUUCUUGACUACUAAUUUAGCUAUGUGGGAAAACUCUGAAGAUGAAUAUGUAUUUAUCAGGGCGUGCUUUACUAUCUACAUAAGAUGUUUCAGCCUUCAGAGACUUGCGAAGGCUGGUCCGGGAAGUCUAAGGGGAAGGCAGAUCGUGUACAAUGUCAAUCCUAUAUUUGAUGUCGAUUCAUCCACACUUCUAUUGCCAAUAAAGGAAGGCUAAUUGCUUGCUGGUUGGGACUUGGGAGCUGUAUGAGCAGUAAUGUGCACGUAUGAUUCCGUGAGAAAGUGACAAAAAACAUGGAGAAGAAUCUCCAAAUUAAAAUCAGUUGUAAUCUUUUUUUUUUAGUAAUUUGGAUUCUAUACCCAGAUCUGUUGAGUUAAGCAAACACGCAGCGGUCAAGGAUGUUUCCCAUCCUUA